rnacentral:lncRNA from 1 species
UAAAAUCAUCCACUACAUAAUCAUUCAUUAUCUUUACAAUUAACCAUCUAAAGCUACCACAGUUCUUCAAUCAAAAUAUAUAUCUACAUAUAUAGAGAGAGAGAGUACACUUCAUAAUUUCGUCCCUUGUCUUCCGUAAACGUAGCACGAAAAUUUGAUACCCAGUAUUGUAAGGCAGGUCGUAGAAGCAGUCUUCCUGCACAUAUUUAAAAAUAAUAGCAAGUCAGAAAAAUGAAGCAAAUAGGUCACCAAAGGCACUUAGUGCCAAAAUCAAUACACAAAGACAACAAUGUUUAUGUUAUUUUCUUACUAAUCAAGGGACAUGAAAGAAGGUAAUACCCUUUUUAUUGACUACCAAAUUAAUAUCUAAAUCAAAUAUCCUGAAGAAGACAAGCAUGUGCUUCGUGAACCUCGUCCUAGUGGAUAUACAUUGACACAUGGAUCAAGAUAAUAAUUGGUGCUUAUAAAUAAUUCUACAAGUGAACAGACAUUUUACAGGCUUAUAAUGAUGAUAAUACAACUUGAUAAAUAUGUUCGUGCGUGUAGCGAAAGUCAGAAACAUACUUGACGAUUCUGCUGGAAAGGAAAUUGCUGAUUGCGAUAACUGCUUUUCCUGCUUAAUUGUAUGAACUUUCUGGAACGAGUCUGGUGUUUGGUGCCUUGGCAGCAUGUCUUGUUGUAAUAUAUUUGGCUGUUGUUACUGUAAUUGUCGUUGUGAAUCCUGUUGUGGCUUUUUUGCUCAAUUCACCUUCUCUAAAAAAUAUAUUGUGAAACUUCACCAAAUUAAACUAUGAAACACAUAUAACAGUAAAAAAAAGUGUGAUUACAAAGCAUAUGCUAGUUAUAUGGGAAUGUUGGAUAAACCAUUCAUCAUUUUCAUAUAACCAUCAUAUAUGAUAGUGAAGCCAUAUGGAAAUCAAUAGACAAGUCUAUAAAUUUAGCUGGUAAAAACAUGUUCAAUGUUGAGAUAAUGUCAGCUGACAUGUAUAAUUUGACAUCUAGAUAUACUUAUCAAUAUAUAUAUAUAUAUAUAUAUAUAUAUAUAUAUAUAUGUAAAAUUUAUACAUGGAUAAAAAAGUCUCGAUUUACAAAGGAAGUCAAGCACAAGAAAAAAUAGAAAGAAUGAAAAUAAUGUGAUAGAAAGGAAAUUGAUCUUGUGUAAGCAAUGCUCGGUUUUUAAAAGAUGAUCCUUUGAUAAUAAAGCACACAAACUAACUUAUACUGUUUACUAGCCUAAGAUAUAUUUAAGGUAGGCAAAAGAAGAAGAAGAUUUUACCUUAAGCUUACAACUGAUGCCUUUGGUAAAACUCUUGUCCCAAGAAGUAGCAAGCAAAUAAACAUCAGAUUCCCAAAAAUGACGUCCAUCAACAGCUACAUUGACAAUGGAAAACCCAUUUAAUCAAAGAAAAGUAUGUCAUUGCUAUGAAAAACUUCUUUAUCAUACAAAAGAAAAUGUUUAUACCUUCCCAUAGCAUGAAACUAUUGAUGCAAAGCUUGUAUGAGUGGAUAUGAAAUAACAUGGCAUUCAAAAUAAUCUAAAGUUCAUCAUAGAAAGAUUCUAAUUGCAAAUAUAUUAAAAUAUAAAUUUAAUAAAAAUGUUAUUUCUAUCCUCAGCUCCAUUCAUUUCUUUCGCUUUUUUCUGUCUUUCUUCUUUUUUUUUACCGAAUCUAGUUGUCAAUCCUCCUAAAUUUAACCACCAAACCCAUUCAUUAAAAAAACUACUUGUACAAAUGGAACCAAAAGGAACUGCUACUGAAUAAUAUUGGGGAACUAUAUAUGUUGAUGCACGCGCUUAAGAAGCUGUUACAGGUUGCACUGAAGGCGGCAAAGAACUUGCUGGUUGGGCCUACAUAGUUAAGCAACUCCAUAAGCACUUUAAAUUCAUACUAUAGAAAUAAUUGACAUAUAAAAUGGUUCCACAACAUCAAUAUAUAUAGUUCCCCCAUCCCCAAACAUGUGCGCGAGAGCAUAAAACGACAAAGGGAAGAAAGGGAAAUUUAAUGCACUUCAAGUAAUAGUUCCAACCAACUGGGUCAAUCACGCAGAAUUUUUAAUCAUUGCACUUUUUCUUAGGCAACUCAAGAAAAUUACAAUCACAAUGAUUUGGGGACAACACAUUUUAAAAAUGAAAAAUAAAAAGAUGUCCUUAUAUCAGUAAAUGCAACUGGCCCCUUUAUUCAAAGAAAACAUAAUAUCAGUACAAUAACUAAAAUGCACUAAUUAAUAUCAUGUUCUGACCUCAUUAACGCAAAACCUUGACACAUAAUCCCAUAUCUCUAAUAAAGCUAAAAUAGUUUGAUACUUU